rnacentral:rRNA from 1 species
GAUGAACGCUGGCGGCGUGCCUAAUACAUGCAAGUCGAGCGAACAGACGAGGAGCUUGCUCCUCUGACGUUAGCGGCGGAUGGGUGAGUAACACGUGGAUAACCUACCUAUAAGACUGGGAUAACUUCGGGAAACCGGAGCUAAUACCGGAUAAUAUAUUGAACCGCAUGGUUCAAUAGUGAAAGACGGUUUUGCUGUCACUUAUAGAUGGAUCCGCGCCGCAUUAGCUAGUUGGUAAGGUAACGGCUUACCAAGGCAACGAUGCGUAGCCGACCUGAGAGGGUGAUCGGCCACACUGGAACUGAGACACGGUCCAGACUCCUACGGGAGGCAGCAGUAGGGAAUCUUCCGCAAUGGGCGAAAGCCUGGCGGAGCAACGCCGCGUGAGUGAUGAAGGUCUUCGGAUCGUAAAACUCUGUUAUUAGGGAAGAACAAAUGUGUAAGUAACUAUGCACGUCUUGACGGUACCUAAUCAGAAAGCCACGGCUAACUACGUG